rnacentral:tRNA from 1 species
GUUGUCGUGGCCGAGUGGUUAAGGCGAUGGGCUACAAAUCUUUUGGGAUCUUCCCGCGCUGGUUCGAAUCCUGCCGACAUCG